UAUCUCCAUUUGCAUUAAACCUAAAAAAAACAUGUGUAAAAAUUUAGCAUAUAAUAGAAAUAUACGCAUUUAAAAAAAAUCAAAUAGUAUAAACAAACGAAUAGAUUAUAAAUUAACAAGAAUAAGAUAGUAAGCAUACCCUUCAACUCACGAAAGCUCAUGAAUCUAGGGUAGGCUCUAAUGCAUUCCAAGAACUAUCUAAACAUUGAAUCAAUUAAAUAAGUAGGAGUGAUAUGGUAAAAAAAUUGAAACAACUAAAAUAAAACAAUAAACAUACCAUUUUCAAUAUUGUCAAGCUCUUGGAUUUGUUCUUCAAUCUUUUUUAUGUCUUCUUGUGAUGAUGAUUUUCGAAUCCAAUCUUGAGUACACACAAGAGCUUGUACAAUUUUAGGAGUUAAAGAACUCCUAUAUUGAUCAAACACAU
rnacentral:lncRNA from 1 species